UCAUGCUACAGGGAACUGAAGUACCAUUGUGACACACUAAAGCAGCAUGCCCAGAAACUUGAUUCCCUCCUCCCAUUCCCAGCCUUGACCCCAGAUGAAGCUACAGCUCCUGUGCUAUUCAAAACAGUGUCUGUGAUAUAGGCAUGAUGCAGCAGCAGGUCCCACAAGCUGACUGGCCUUCUUCAGAAUUUCCUCUGGCUUUGAGGGUAGAAGGGCUGUCCCCUUGAUCAGUUACAAGAAACAGCAACCACAGACUGAAGACAUCUUCAGGAAAAAAGCAGUGAUAUGGAACAGCAGUACAUUCAGUAGUGGAGAAAGGGGACUGCAGAACCACUCUGUUCAACACCAGGAGCCAAAGAGCAGGAAGAAAAUCAGUUUUUUGAGUGGGAGCUGAGCAGCACUGACUAUGGAAGCAUGCAGAGAGCAGAAAACCAGAGCUCAUCCUACAGGAUGCAAACAGCAGAUCUCAUGAGCAUGUAAACUUGCAAAACAACCCAAGAAUUGCACUUAGCUGCAUCACACCCAGCAACACUAUGGAAGAAAUUAUCUUACCUUCCCAGCAGUGCAAGCCAAGACCUGAAACUCCCCUGCCAGGCUCACAGUAUUAUAUAUGUCACAAAUUCACAGAAUGGCUUAGUUUGGAAGGGACAUUAAAGCACAGCUUGUUCUAACCCCCUGUCACGGGCUGGAAUGCCUUCCACUACACUAGGUUAGGACAUAGCAAUCAAACCCUUCUAUUUCCAUUCUGUAGCUCAUGUACAACAGUUAAGGAGGAGCUUUGCCAGGAAGCUAGCCAAGACACAGAAUACAAGACAUACUGAGAAGGAAAAGAAACCAAAAAACAAAAAUGACACUUGGCAGCAACUCCUGCUCUGGCCAGAUGCAGUGAGCAGGUCUCCCUGCACACACCUGAAACGCUCACAGUCUGACAAAGGUGAGCCAAAGGUCCAAAACCCUGCUACCUGGAGUCCUAUUGCACAUGGAGAUAUUCACAUGCUCAGGUGACAGCUUCUUUACCUAAACAAAACCUUUAGAUCAUGGCACUCGCAGGAUGACAUCAUCAGAUCAGCAGUAUAUGCCAGGAGGCUGCUGGGAGCAUCACCGUGAGAUGGAGAUGGUGUGUGCAGGUGAUGUCUGCUCCAGUCCAGCCCCAUGCGUACACCUGGCAAGGGCUUGGGCUUCACCUGCCACUUCAGGUCCAGGAUUCAGUUCACUGGGACAUUCCUCAGCCACUUCAUGUGCUGCUUAGCUUAAAGCAUUAUUUACAAGGCCAGCCAUUAACCAGCAGACAAGUUUCUAGUGUCCUAAAAUAGCUUAUUACUGUCAGAGCAGCUGCAUGAAGUCCCAGAGAACAUGGCCAAUGACUGCUCAUGCUGAGUAACUGACCAGAUUCAGGCUGUUUUCCAAAUCCACCUGGAAUUACAAAACAUGACCUCACAUCUCAGGUAUGGGUACAAUAGUCCUGGUGUUUCAGGCUGGGAGGCACUGCUGACUCCAGUGAGACCAGCCUGAUCAGCAUAAACAUCGGAGCAGAGAUUGAUUCUCAUGCAGCUGCUCUAAUACAGCAA